rnacentral:rRNA from 1 species
GACGAACGCUGGCGGCGUGCUUAACACAUGCAAGUCGAACGGAAAGGCCCUGCUUUUGUGGGGUGCUCGAGUGGCGAACGGGUGAGUAACACGUGAGUAACCUGCCCUUGACUUUGGGAUAACUUCAGGAAACUGGGGCUAAUACCGGAUAGGAGCUCCUGCUGCAUGGUGGGGGUUGGAAAGUUUCGGCGGUUGGGGAUGGACUCGCGGCUUAUCAGCUUGUUGGUGGGGUAGUGGCUUACCAAGGCUUUGACGGGUAGCCGGCCUGAGAGGGUGACCGGCCACAUUGGGACUGAGAUACGGCCCAGACUCCUACGGGAGGCAGCGGUGGGGAAUAUUGCACAAUGGGCGGAAGCCUGAUGCGGCAACGCCGCGUGCGGGAUGACGGCCUUCGGGUUGUGAACCGCUUUCGCCUGUGACGAGGCGUGAGUGACGGUAAUGGGUAAAGAAGCACCGGCUAACUACGUG